rnacentral:rRNA from 1 species
GCUUAGAGAGGGGUCAAUGUCCUAUCAGCUAGUUGGUAAGGUAAUGGCUUACCAAGGCUAAGACGGGUAGCCGGCCUGAGAGGGUGGUCGGCCACACUGGGACUGAGACACUGCCCAGACUCCUACGGGAGGCUGCAGUCGAGAAUCUUUCGCAAUGCCCGAAAGGGUGACGAAGCGACGCCGCGUGUGGGAAGAAGGCCUUCGGGUUGUAAACCACUGUCGGGAGUUAAGAGAUGUAAGGGUGUUAAUAGCAUCCUUACUUGACUAAGGCUCCGGAGGAAGCCACGGCUAACUCUGUGCCAGCAGCCGCGGUAAUACAGAGGCGGCAAGCGUUGUUCGGAAUUAUUGGGCGUAAAGAGCACGUAGGCGGCUUUGUAAGUCAGUUGUGAAAGCCUUCCGCUUAACGGAAGAACAGCAUCUGAUACUGCAAGGCUAGAGUGCGGAAGGG